rnacentral:piRNA from 1 species
UCUGACACUCAGGAAUAGGCUACAUGGCA